AACGAACGCUGGCGGCAGGCCUAAAACAUGCAAGUCGAGCGGGCAUAGCAAUAUGUCAGCGGCGGACGGGCGAAUAACACGUGGGAACAUGCCCUUUGGUACGGAACAACUCAGGGAAACUUGAGCUAAUACCGUAUGUGCCGGUAACGGGAAAGAUUUAUCGCCAAAGGAUUGGCCCGCGUCCGAUUAGCUAGUUGGUGAGGUAACGGCUCACCAAGGCGACGAUCGGUAGCUGGUUUGAGAGAACGAUCAGCCACACUGGGACUGAGACACGGCCCAGACUCCUACGGGAGGCAGCAGUUGGGAAUCUUGGACAAUGGGGGAAACCCUGAUCCAGCCAUGCCGCGUGAGCGAUGAAGGCCUUCGGUUGUAAG
rnacentral:rRNA from 1 species